AGCAAGGUGACAUUGAUUAAAUGUUGAAAUUCCAUCAGAAUCAUCAUUAUGGUCAAGGUUGAAAUUUCAAUGUUAAAUAAUAUUGAAUCAAUGUUGCUAAUGUAUUGCUUUCUCAAUGUUGAAAAUCCAAACAUUGAAUCAAUGUUUAUAAUAAAUUUAUUUUUCAAUGUUGAAAAGCCAAACAUAGACUCAAUGUUGAUUUUUGGUCAGCUUCAUCUGCACACUUUAACACAAAUCAAAUUGGGUGAAUUUCUGUAUAAUUAAGUGAAAAUAUUUACGAUCCUAUAAAGUCCUGUUCAUUUUAUGACCUAAAGACCUUUCCCCCCCAGGACCACCACCAGACAAGUUUUUUGCUUUUAUACAGCAAGUAAAAAUUAUCUGGUCAGAUCAUCUCUAAAUAUGUGAGUGUUCAAGAAGAUUUCAAAUGUAUGAUCAUUUUGGGGAAUCAACAGCUAUUUUAAAUACGUUUAACAAAAAUGCCCUAAAUGCCUUAGACAGAAAUGCCUUAGUUUACCAUCGUCAGAAAACUGCCAACUAAGUGUAUAUUAACAAACAACAAUCAUAAGUCAAAACAUAUUAUUAAUAAUCACAAAUCAAUGACAUUAUAAUUUUUAUUUUAUUAUUUAAUUUUAUUUUUGCAGGAAUUGGUAAAGUUAUGAAAUAAAUAACCUAACAUUAGUUUUGUUGCUCUUAUAUCUCUUAUAGUGUUUGUCUAGCAAAUUUGCAUAUAAUUAUGUAAAGUGUUAUAGAAAAAAAGCGUGUGAAAUUUAAAUUAACUUUAAUUUUCAUUUAUUGCUCAGUUAAUAUUUAAUAGCCCAAAGAACACAGUAUAUAAUAAAAAAUCCCCCCACUGACUAUUAAAUGCGCUACACCCAGUCCAGUAGGUGGCAGUAAUGACCCUUCAGUUGCCAACCGCCACUCAGUUUAGAAGCGCAGAAGAUUAGAACGUUAAGUUUGGGCGCGAAAGGACAACGACAGUGCCAGCGGGGUUUUAGAGGCCCAUUAGAGUGAUUUCCUGCGUUCUCUCCCACAUGGUCAGCGAAUGGAUUAUCCAGUCACAGUACAUAAUGAAAGACUUGCCAAAGUUAGAAGAAGCUGAGUGAAUCUUCAGAGUGAUUCUUCAGAGAGAAGAUGUUAUGAUGUCUCACAAGAACCAAUGAAAUCUGGGAGACCUCAGAGUAUUUCCUUGCUGUGACUGUGUAAAAACAGCUAUGUUAUGCCCGUGAACGGAUUGGUGUAUAAAAGGGCCUGCAGUGUUCAACAGUGUCUCUGUUUAAUGUGAAGUAAAUCCAUCACAUUUGCAUCAGAGGAGGAGCUUCAGUUACUGAAUAGUCCUAAACAAUGAACUGUGGUAAUGUUUCAAUUUCUAAAUGUUUCAAGAAGUACAGUUGUGUCUUUGAGUUUUGUAUGGUACCUGUAUCUGGUCAUUAAAAAUUGAAUUGAAUUGAAAUUGAAUUGCUUUUCCAAAUUCAUUUUGCUGAUGUAUGUUUAUGAUGUUGUCUUAAUUUUCCAGAGUCCUCUAGUGGCAAUAAUAUUUAUAAUUUUAAUUUGUACUUUUGUAUUUUAUGGCAAAAAAAUUUGAAUCAUACAAUUGUAUUUUACGAUAUAUAUACGUUUAUUUGCUCGUGGUAUUUAAUUUCUUGAGUGUGAUGUAUCCUGUGUAAACUGUGUGGGUGUAUUGCAAGUUAGUGACUUUUUGGCUUAAAGUAUGUUAAUUGUAGCCCUACAUGGUCUCUGAUUUAAAAACUAGUCAUAACAGACUUGAUUUAGUAACAUUGAAUCCUGCAGUAGAUAAAGCUUGUUUUUUUAUAUUGCUUCAAUGUUGCUAUAUUGUUAAUUACACUAUUGAAAUGAUGUUCAAUAAACAUUGAUCUUAUAUCCAUCUUGAUUGAUUUUCCAUUAUUGAAAUAACAUUAUUCUAGGCUGCAAACCUGAUGAAAAAUCAAUGAAAAAUGUCAACGUUGUUUCAAUGAUAAUUUGGUUAAUGGCAUCAACAUCAAUUCUAUGUUGAUUCACUGUUGGUCUGCUACCUUAAGUGAUUGAAUUUAUGUUGAAUUAAGAUUGGUUUUGUAACCAUUUAGAUUGAUUUUGCAUCAUUGAAAUAACAUUAUUCCAGGGUGCAAACCUGAUGAAAAAUCAAUGUAAAAUUUCAAUGUUGAUUCAAUGAUAAUUUGGUUGAUGGAUUAACAUCAUUUCAAUGUUGAUUCACUGUUUGUCUGCUAU